CCCUUAUACAGAAGAUGAAUAAUAGAUGUACCUCUUGAUGCAAAUACUGCCAACCUUCAUGUAUAAAUACUGCUGUGUGACUUUUAUUUCCUCAUCAGAUCAUGGAGCACACUCGAGCCAUGCCAGUCAUAUUGUCCUCAACACAAACGUGUUGGCUGUUGGUGUUAGUGCUGGUGACAUGGGUAGAUUGUGCUUUUGAACACACCCAGCCCAGUAUCAUGACUGUAAAGCCAGGAGAGUCUCUGACAAUCACCUGCAAAGUGACUGGGGCAUCUAUUACAGAUAGCAGCUACUAUGGAACAGCAUGGAUUCGUCAGGCAGCAGGGAAACCCCUGGUUUGGAUCAACGUACUCUACUACAAUGAAGUCAAAUAUGAAAAUAAUGCCCUGAAGAACAAGUUCAGUGUAUCCAGAGACACCUCCAGUAACACAGUUACCCUGCAAUGCCUGAAUCUACAGACUGAAGACACAGCUGUGUACUACUGUGCACGAGACACACUAUGA